CCUUCUGUCCAGGAGAUCUCUUCUUGUGUAGCAUUCAUCAGUGUCUAUAUUCUGAGUGAAAGGUCACAGAGCAGUGAACUAGAAAACUCAACGGACAUGAGGGCCCUAUUGUAACAGGCACUGAUUUUACAGGGCUGGCCAAUUUGAGCAAAAGUUUGAGUUCAAGUCUCUCAGAAAUUAUGCAUCUGUGAUAUUUCCAGCAGAAAGUCAUGUGAUACAGCACACAUUGUUCUUGGUAAGACUGAUCAAUAAUAUCUCCUGUAAGCAUGGUACAAGUGCACCCUGAAGGAUCCCAAGCUGCUCACCUCCUGAGCUGCAGCCAAACACUUAAGGCCAGACUUGUCCUCUCCCAACCCACGGCUGGUCUGCAUAAGGCCAGUUCCCAUAGAACAACGUAGACCACUGAAAAUGCUCUAAACUAUGCUAGCUGCCUAAGGCCCCAAAGGGACAACCCAACAGCCAGGGUUUGCCUGGAUUCCCACUUUCCUCCAGCCAUGCUGAUCAGAG